rnacentral:rRNA from 1 species
GAAUAUUGGUCAAUGGAGGGAACUCUGAACCAGCCAUGCCGCGUGCAGGAGGACUGCCCUAUGGGUUGUAAACUGCUUUUGUCCAGGAAUAACCACCCCUACGUGUAGUGGCUUGAAUGUACUGGAAGAAUAAGGAUCGGCUAACUCCGUGCCCACCGCCGCGGUAAGACGGAGGAUCCGAGCGUUAGCCGGAUUUAUUGGGUUUAAAGGGUGCGUAGGCGGCUCAUUAAGUCAGGGGUGAAAGACGGCAGCUCAACUGUCGCAGUGCCUUUGAUACGGAUGAGCUUGAAUGUGGUUGAAGAUGGCGGAAUGAGACAAGUAGCGGUGAAAUGCAUAGAUAUGUCUCAGAACUCCGAUUGCGAAGGCAGCAGUCUAAGUCAUCAUUGACGCUGAUGCACGAAAGCAUGGGGAUCGAACAG